rnacentral:precursor_RNA from 1 species
AUAUAUAUAUAUAGUUGAGCUGAACUUGCUUCUGCUCUUGGUCUUGGGUGAAAUAGGAAGACCAAACUUUAUAAUAUAACACAAAUUGACGUUAUAUUGACGAAGUGCAUGGUAAGAAAAUAAUUAAACAAAUAUAACUUUUAAGAUAAGGUUGAGAGUUCAAAACUUUAUAAUAAAGGACAUAUGGUUAGAACAUAGACCAAGUGCAUGAGGUAAAUGGGGGUUUAGUUUUGCUUCUACAUUAUUAGGCUGUUAAAAGAGCUAGAGACAAAAUGAAGAUGGGGAUUUUUGUCUGUCUGAUGGCGAAGUUUUCUCUUAAUUUGCAUGGAUCUCUAUAUAUGGGCUUUAUUUACAGAGUCUGUGAAUGUCUGUGAAGGGGGAAGAAAGAGAUAUUUGGUAACUUUAAUUUGUUUGAAAACAAACUUAAUUUGCUGGCCUCCAAUUCAAAAGUAGUUUGGUGGAAUAUCAGCUAUAGGCACCUAAAAAUUAACUUCACCAACCAGGGGGACUUCUUUUUUUUGAAUUUCAAAUGGUUGUGACAUAAUACCAACAUGCAUAUAUACACCAUCUUCAAUUAAGAUUCAUGAUACACGAAUUGAAAGAUCAAUGUUUUUGCCUCAGCCAGCUUUUCCCUGUCUCUAAGACUUUGAAUUUAAUAUACCCACCACCUUUUUUGUUGUGGGGUUGUUGGCCAAUUCAAUGCAAUUCCUUUCUCUCUCUCCUCUCUCACUCUCAUUAAGAUCACGAGAUUCCCACAAGACAUCCCAAUUUACUCCAAAAGAAACAUAUCCCACCUCCUUCGCCUCUCUUGUUUCUUCUUCUGUUCCCCUGAGGCUAUUCAUUUUUGUCACAUGAUCAACCUCUCUUCGUAUGUCUGUGUUUCUUUUUGUGUUUCCAUGCGGGCCUAUAUAUAUAUACUCAUGUUCAGGGAUCAGUUUCUGUAAUCAGUCAGUAUAACAAAGAGCAUGAGAUGUUGGUACGGUUCAAUCUGAAAGCAGCACUCUCAGGCUAGAGCUCUGUUUUUUGAUUGAGCCGUGCCAAUAUCACAUGUAUUAUCACAACUACUGCUUCUCUUCAUCAGUCUACAACAUUAAUUUGAUCAAGACAUUCUUUUUUCUUCUUCUUCUUCUUCUUCUUCUUCUUUCUUUUUUUUUUUGUUUUUCUUGUUUUCAAGGCAUUUCGUUUUACAGAUUUUGCAGGGUGGACUUCAUGGAUAACAGGAUAAGGUUAGGAAUAAAUGUAAUUCAUCUGAACUUCUAGUUUUUCUUUUUUCCUUGCAGGCUGAGAGAAAAGCAUAUAUGCUCUUGUAAAAGCCUGUUUUUGCUAGGGUUUUAGUAACGUUAUCAACUACAUUAGUCAUUAGAGUUAUUCUGUUGGAUUUCCAUUUUCUUAAUUUUUGUGUGGAAAUGAAGGGUCAUGAUCAUGUACAACAAAGUGUUUGACUUUUGUGUUGUAAAUACUAGAUACUACGUAAGGACGGUUUUAAUUAGUUUACUUCUACGUAAAGGUUCACUGCCUUUUUUGACAAUGUGGUAUAUUGGUAGGUGACGAUAUUCGAUCUGUUCCUUGUUCUCAUCUUUAAACCUCUUAAAAAGAA